CUCAGGGAGGGGUGCCUCAGCCCAGAUUGCGAGAGGGCACAGGCCAGGCUGAGGGACUCCACUGGUGCACA
rnacentral:pre_miRNA from 1 species